GGCAUCUUUGCUGGGCAAUUCGAAGGAUGCAUAUAAAGAGGACACCAGACAAUAAGUCUUAUUUUCAGAAAAAGAAGAGCUGUACUUGGCAGUUGUUGUCCAUCUCAUCUCAGUCAAUUAGCAGCAUUUCUCAAACUCAAGCCCAGGCUGGACAGUUCUGGGAAUACAUCUUAAAUUUGCCAAUUUGGAGAGUACUGCUCUACAGCCUCCAAUUGUUCUUUCUGAAUCUGAACUCAAAGACC